AACGAACGCUGGCGGCAGGCCUAACACAUGCAAGUCGAACGCCCCGCAAGGGGAGUGGCAGACGGGUGAGUAACACGUGGGAACGUACCCUUCGGUUCGGGAUAACUCAGGGAAACUUGAGCUAAUACCGGAUACGUCCGAGAGGAGAAAGAUUUAUCGCCGAGGGAUCGGCCCGCGUCUGAUUAGCCUUGUUGGUGAGGUAACGGCUCACCAAAGGCGACGAUCAGUAGCUGGUCUGAGAGGAUGAUCAGCCACAUUGGGACUGAGACACGGCCCAAACUCCUACGGGAGGCAGCAGUGGGGAAUAUUGGACAAUGGGCGCAAGCCUGAUCCAGCCAUGCCGCGUGAGUGAUGAAGGCCCUAGGGUUGUAAA
rnacentral:rRNA from 1 species